rnacentral:rRNA from 1 species
CCUACGGUGGCUGCAGUGGGGAAUAUUGGACAAUGGGCGAAAGCCUGAUCCAGCCAUGCCGCGUGUGUGAAGAAGGCCUUCGGGUUGUAAAGCACUUUCAGUGGGGAAGAAAGCCUUGGGGCUAAUACCCUCGAGGAAGGACAUCACCCACAGAAGAAGCACCGGCUAACUCCGUGCCAGCAGCCGCGGUAAUACGGAGGGUACGAGCGUUAAUCGGAAUUACUGGGCGUAAAGCGCGCGUAGGCGGUCUGAUAAGCCGGUUGUGAAAGCCCCGGGCUCAACCUGGGAACGGCAUCCGGAACUGUCAGGCUAGAGUGCAGGAGAGGAAGGUAGAAUUCCCGGUGUAGCGGUGAAAUGCGUAGAGAUCGGGAGGAAUACCAGUGGCGAAGGCGGCCUUCUGGACUGACACUGACGCUGAGGUGCGAAAGCGUGGGUAGCAAACAGGAUUAGAUACCCUAGUAGUC